CCCCCCCCCCCCCGUCUUUAAUUUUGUUAUUCUCCUCUUCGUAUCCUUCCUUGUGUUGUGUUUAGUAAGUAGGAUUAUUGUGUAGGAAGGACACCUAAAAAAAAUGAGAGAGAGAGAGAGAUGCUAAUCUGAUUAUUAUUACAGUAAUUUUGUUGGGCGAUGUACUGUAAUACAGACUUGUUUAAUGGAAAUGAAACUUUGAUUCUGCUUCUGGCUGUUGUUCGAUCUAUCAUCUUUGGAUAGAUGGUUUAGCUGAUUAUUAUAAAUAUAAAUAUCUAGCGUGCUAUGCUAUUAGCACACUUAAUGUUAGUAAGUGCAGUACUUCGUUAAACCAUCAGUUAGUAUAAUGGAGAAAUCUCUGGUUUCUUUUAUUUGUUGCGUAGUCUUGAAGUUGAUGCGGGCGAUAGGAGCUGAUUGGGUAGUCUAGAUGAUGCGUAGGUACCAUUUGGAGAACUCCUAAAGAUUUAUCCAAUGAAUUCAAUCUAUUCAGAACUUCCGUUCACUUUCUUUUAGCAUGCCAUAGUCUCGUAGAUUUUAGCCAUUCCGUACGAUUAUGAUUGAAGUCAGGAGAUCAAAGCAAUGAUGCAUGCCCUGGGUGCACCUGUGCACGCUGUGCUCACUGGCUACUAUUACCAUGACAUGUUGGGCGACGAUCCUUUGAACAUUGCUUACACGUGCUACAAGUCAGCAGUAGUAUCACUAAGGUCAAUGUGGCUGGUUGCAUUUGCCACCAGAUACCAGUGGUAUUCCAGAAGACAGGGGGAUUAAGUACAUGAUUUACUGAGCACUUUCUUUGGCCAGUAGAGUGGUGUUUUGAGAAUCUAUUGAUUCAUCUCACUGCCCACCAUUUUCCCCUAAUCGAAACGCAUGUGCUUAUCUAGUGAUAUGGAUGAUCAAACCAUUAGAGAUGAAGCUGAGAAGCUAUUGAGAUAACAGCAUAGUAAUACCAUGACACACUGUUUCAUGGAAAGUAUUUAGGAGAGUAGAGCUACAGCUGUUAAACAUAGUAUGAAGUUUUGGAAUAUAGUACAUGGAGGGCUGGGUUUAUAUCUGAAGAAGAUGUUCUCGCUAAGCUGCUUCCUUUCUCCUGUCAAAACUAUUUUUUAUUUUUCAAGGUCUGACUUUUAAUCCUCUGUAAUUAAACCCCAAUGAUGUAAUUUAAAUCCCCUUAAUCAAACUAGGUCCUGGCGGUAUUGUUUUAUGUUCUCGCUCAGUUGUUCUGAUAUAGAAACCAAGUUUUUUAUAACCAUUUUGCAUCUGAACCAAGAGUCUGAGAUAAAAUGUGUGAUGAGUAUAAAAAAUGGCAACUUGGAACACAUAGUUGAUGAGCAGAUAAUUCUUACAUAUAGUACCUCCUUAUUCUGCAUUGCUUGUCUGCAUGGAAUAUGGACUAACAAGUAUUCCUUCGGUAAAAAGCAUGGAACCUACAAAGAUUUUUACUCUAUGCUGUGUACAUGUGGAAUGCUCCAAAGGUUAUUCUAACAAUGUUUGAGAAGGAAGAGCCCUUCACCUUCCCCAAGACGGCGCAUUAGUCGUUCUCCAUCUCCCAGGCGACAUAAAAGUCGGUCUCCAUCGCAAAGACACUACAGAAGAAAGAGAAGUCGGAGUGUCACUAGCUCUCCGAUUACCAAAUCUCAAAGUCCUCCUGUUGCGCGUGGGCCAGCAGAGAAUAAGAAUAUUGUUGAUAAGCAAAGGCUAGAAGAAGAAAAGAAAAGGUGGGGAGUAUCUACUUUGCUAUGCGGAGUCUGCAUACCAUCUACAAACCAAACUGUUUACUAUUUAUUCGCUUCCCUAUUCCUCAUUUAUGUUGACAGCAUGCUAUUCAUUAAUCAACAUUUUUAACAUCCUGUUAAAAUUAUAUUCAUCUAACUGUUGUUUUUACCAGAAUAUAUCUUGAGGUCAGCUCUAUUGGCAAUCUGUGCUCUAAAUACAUUAUUUAAGUUCUUUUAUGAAGAAUAAUGUUUUUUUUAAAUGACCUUCUUGAUUAUUUAAUCUGCAAAACUUUUCUUUAAUGAAACGACUGCACGUCUUGCUUCCAAAUUGUUAUGGUCUCUUGUUAUCCUUGCAUAUAAUUGUUGGCUUAAGAUGUUGAACUCUAGCUCUGAAGAAGUCAUCUAUGAUGAGCAAAGCCAUCGGCACUAGAUGAUUUUUCUGUGUAAAUUCUGUGUAGUAUGCAUUUAAUGUCUCCUCUUUCCCACCAAGGCAGUUUUCCCCAUUUGUUAUCUAUUAUGAAAUUGUAUUACAUUUUGCUGCUACUUUGAUUGUUUGUUAAGGGUUGCCAUGCAACAUAUAGAUUAAUGAGUUGAGUCCAUGAUCCUGGAGAUGCCCAAUUCUCUAUUAUUGUAAACUGUGAUGUUCUUGUUCUUUCUGGAAUUUCUUUGGGGCAAGGAACUUAACAGUGAAAUAGAGGCUUGCAUCAAAAGAACCAAAAAGAGUAAAAGAGGGUAAUUUCUACCAGUUCUAUUGAUGACUUUGUGGCUUAGCUUUGGUUCGUUUUCUGUUUUAUAUGAAAACAGUAUAUUCUUCACUAUGGACCUCUCUGCUGGUUGGCAAAUCUGAAUCCGUUUGUUCAAUCCAUUAGGUUGCAUUCUUAAAAGGCAUGGAGUUAAAUUUCCAUGGUGGUUUUUCAAAGUUUACUUUGGUUGAUGCUUUCAUAGACGUAGUAUGGUCCAAUGUGGGGCUGUAAUUUGUCAUCAUUCCAGUUAUGUCAUCACAUGUGGCAUGUGAUAUACCUGUCAUAAAAAUGCGUUUAAUAUUGCCAUGCUUUCACCAAGUUGUAACGAUACACUAUUGCAUAAUUGCUUUGAAGUUUGUUUUGACUAGAUUGAAGAUGUGAAAAUAUGAUCUAAUUGGAAUACUGAAAUGUCUACAUGAUUAGCUCUAAACCUGCCACAAGUUACUUGACAUUCUUCUCUACAGGCUUUUCUGAAGGAAGCUACUGCUAUAGUUCCACUUGUUAUAUUUGAUGAUGCAAUUGGUGAUCCUUUAUCUACUCUUGACCAGUUUUGAUAGUUCAUUUUUUGGAUCUGGAAUCGUACUAGAGGUAUGCCUGAAAUGCAUUAGCUUGUAUUCAGAACUAUGCUGAUGAAGGCAUAGUUGAUCAUAGAUAGUGUUAAAGAUUGUAAAUCUGCGGUUUUCUUUUGGCUGCUUUUGUUUACCAUUAAGAUUUGAAGAAGGUGCCAGGCAUAGGCAAUUCUUUCUUUCCCAAAGUAGACUUCAUUAACUUGUCUCAAUUGCAGGCGCCAAAAAGAAGUUGAGCUCAGACUAUUAGAGGAGGAAACUGCAAAAAGAGUUGAGCAAGCUAUUAGGAAACAAGUUGAAGAGAGUUUGAAUUCUGAGGAAAUCAAACAUGAAAUACAAAGACGGAUUGAGGUAGGGCGAAAGAGGAUACAUGAGGAGGUAUUAGUCCAAAUUGAGAAAGAAAAGGAGGCAGCCCUGGUUGAAGCUCAGCACAAAGCGGAACGCGAAAGGAAAGAGCGGGAGGAGCUAGAGAAAAAGCUCGAGGAAGAGCGGAAGAAAGCCGAGGAGGCUCAGAUGAAGGAAGCAAUGGAGCAGCAGCAGAAAGAGCUGGAGCGGUACCAGGAGCUGGAGAGGCUCCAGAAAGAGAGGGAGGAAGCCAUGAAGCGGAAGCAGAUGGAGGAAGAGCAGCAGAAGCAGAGCCAGAUGAAGCUGCUGGGCAAGAACAAGUCGCGCCCGAAGCUGUCGUUCGCGCUUGGGAUGAAGUAGAUGAAGGAAAUUAGUGCCUUAUUAUUUAGUCGAUGUGUAUUUUGUAACAGUCUAUCUAUGCCUGAAAACAUCAUCUCUCUUGCUGGUAAAUCGUUUGCAGAUCGUGGGCAAGAAGAAAGCUCUAACAAUGUUUACUGUACUACACAAGCCUGUGGCAACCUGCAAGUUGUAAUUGGCUUGGGCAUUUUACCAUCUCAUCUCAAGUGUAAGCUGACGAUUUGUUAACAGUUCAGAACCUCCGAACCUA